rnacentral:tRNA from 1 species
GGUGAGAUGGCCGAGCGGUCUAAGGCGCCAGACUAAGGAUCAAGACAUUUGAUGUCUGUAAACACGUAAUAUUUGAUUAUGUAAUCUGGUCACAUUGUGGCGUGGGUUCGAAUCCCACUCUCAUCA